AGUGAACGCUGGCGGUAGGCCUAACACAUGCAAGUCGAACGGCAGCACAGUAAGAGCUUGCUCUUACGGGUGGCGAGUGGCGGACGGGUGAGGAAUACAUCGGAAUCUACUUUUUCGUGGGGGAUAACGUAGGGAAACUUACGCUAAUACCGCAUACGACCUACGGGUGAAAGCAGGGGAUCUUCGGACCUUGCGCGAUUGAAUGAGCCGAUGUCGGAUUAGCUAGUUGGCGGGGUAAAGGCCCACCAAGGCGACGAUCCGUAGCUGGUCUGAGAGGAUGAUCAGCAACACUGGAACUGAGACACGGUCCAGACUCCUACGGGAGGCAGCAGUGGGGAAUAUUGGACAAUGGGCGCAAGCCUGAUCCAGCCAUACCGCGUGGGUGAAGAAGGCCUUCGGGUUGUAAAGCCCUUUUGUUGGGAAAGAAAAGCAGCAGGUUAAUACCCCGCUGUUAUGACGGUACCCAAAGAAUAAGCACCGGCUAACUUCGU
rnacentral:rRNA from 1 species